CUACGGGAUGCUCCAGUAACGAAUCUUCCGCAAUGCGCGAAAGCGUGACGGGGCAAUGCCGCGUGUGGGAUGAAGCCCCUUGGGGUGUAAACCACUGUCAGGGUGCAGGAACACAAUGACCAUACCCAAAGGAAGCACCGGCUAACUCUGUGCCAGCAGCCGCGGUAAUACAGAGGGUGCGAGCGUUAAUCGGAAUCACUGGGCUUAAAGGGUCCGUAGGCGGAGCUGCAGGCGUCGAGUGAAAUCCCACGGCUCAACCGUGGAACUGCUCGGCGAACCGCAGUUCUUGAGGCGAGUAGAGGCGAUCAGAACGAUAGGUGGAGCGGUGAAAUGCGUAGAUAUCUAUCGGAAUGCCAAAGGUGAAGACAGGUCGCUGGGCUCGUCCUGACGCUGAGGGACGAAAGCGUGGGGAGCAAACGGGAUUAGAUACCCUGGUAGUC
rnacentral:rRNA from 1 species